UUCUCCCAGCUGUACCGUGGGGAAGCAUCGGAGCUGCCAGUGUUUUGAAGGUUCUGCAGGAGGAUGCAGUUCCAGUCCCCUGGGAGAGGGGAAUGGAAGCAUUAACAGUCACGCUGCUGAACCGGAGUGGUUCUGUAUUCGGUCCACUGGGCUUACGCUGCUGGAAACGUCCUUGCCCUGAACGCUUCUCCUUCCGACAAGAAACGGGGUGUCCCUCUUGGAACAACCUGUAGUGAGUUUGCCGCUGUUGAUCCUUCCUCGGCUAAAGGUCUAUCUCCAACCAUUCACGGUUGCUGCUGUGGUUAGAGGCCCAAGCCAAUCCUGGGACUUGAAGCCAAGCCUUGUCGGGAGACCACUGGAAUACUUGCCCGAAUUCGUU